AUAGGAGGGCACCAGAAGUGGAGGGCAGACAAUCCUUGUCCGGUGACAUCAAGUUUAGGGUUUGCACAAUGAGAGACAAGAGGGUUGAUGGCAAGGGUUGGGGGUGGACAGAGGGUUGAUGGGAAGGGUAGGAGCUAGAGAGGGGGGGUGGGUUCUGUCCACUAACGUUGGUUGCAGAUAGAGAGAGAGGGUAGGGUUGAGGGGAACGGGUAUAGAGAGAGAUUGAGGGAGUAAGGGAUAGGGGCUAGAGGUAUGGGUUGAUUUGUCCGGGUCUGCUGCAUCCUUACUAUUCAAAAGAGGACAUGGAAUUGCUCUCUUCCUUUUUUUGGCAACCACGUAUGCCCUCUCUCUCAAAUUCCUUCAUUAGGGGUCUAAGAAUUACAUUUAAGAGGAUCAUGAGGAACAGAAGCACAAAUCAGUUCUCAGGCAUUCCAUACGUAAUGUCAAUGCUUAACUGCCUACCCUCCACUUGACAAGGUUUUACUUCCAGCAGCUGAUAUCAGGAGUUAGUUGCUGUCAUUUGAUGGUAUGUAAUGUGACACUUUUCUGCCAAUGCGUCGUAUAUUGUUAUUUCUUUAUCUUUUGAU